AGUCAGGACUUAAACAUGUGCCCCUGUGGGAUGCCAGUGCCGCAGGUGGAGACUUAAGCUGCUACAACACUACUCUGACUUCUCCUUUGCUCACUUUGUUUUAUUUUCUGUAUUGGGUUUCUUUAUUUAAAUUUUUCCCCUUGCUGUGACUAUUUCUUAUUGUGAAGCACUUAACUAUUUUGACCUCCUAGGUUUUUUUUCCAAUUUUAUAAUUUGGCUGUUUAAUUUACACUUAAGUUAGAAGUUUUGAAGUAUACCUGGUAUACUUUUCCACUGUAUUCAUUUUACAUGUGGGCAGCCUCUAUCUUAUGUUUGUCAGCUCUAAAACAGAGGCAUAAUCAAAAAAAAUAUUUGAAUUACUGUCAUGUACUACAUACAUCAUGGCAUUUCAGGCAUGGUUCACAAUGCAAAGUACUCCUGUAGUAUAUUGCCUGUUGAGGUUGGUGUAGUUGUCCUAGUGUGCAUAAAUACAUUGUAAGAUGUUAACAGUGACAGAAUUGCCUAAAGAUGAGAUUUUCACGAUGUAUCCUCUUCAUUAAGCAACACAUCUAUACUUCUAUGAAUUUGUUUCUGUUGCAAAGCUAGGUGUUGGAUUAAUGAUCCAAGCCACAUUAAGUGGUUAGAUACAAGGAGGUUGAGAUAGAGUGAAUGGGUGCUUAUUGUUCAGAGCACUUAGACAUAAUUAACUUGGAUUAUUGACAGCUCUGCAUUGCUUUUUACCUAACUGGCCAUGGUUAGUGAGAGAAGUGGUGUUAGGGUUCUUACUGGCAUUGCUAUUAAAGC